UACGGAGGGGGCUAGCGUUGUUCGGAAUUACUGGGCGUAAAGCGCACGUAGGCGGCUUUGUAAGUUAGAGGUGAAAGCCCGGGGCUCAACCUCGGAAUUGCCUUCGAUACUGUUAGUCUUGAGUCCGGGAGAGGUGAGUGGAAUUCCUAGUGUAGAGGUGAAAUUCGUAGAUAUUAGGAAGAACACCAGUGGCGAAGGCGGCUCACUAGCCCGGUACUGACGCUCAUGUGCGAAAGCGUGGGGAGCAAACAGG
rnacentral:rRNA from 1 species